GAACCUAGGACUUACCUGAACACACAAAAAAUGAAUUAUAACUGGUUAAUUACAUUCGUCUUUAUUUGCUUUGCAAAUGAAAUAUGGUCGGACGACUGCCCUUCUCACUGGAUUAAGCACAGGUUUUCCUGUUAUCUGUUCAUUAAAGAUGUUCCCGAGGACUUCAUCGAAGCUGGGUCAUUUUGCCAAAGGCUUGGAUCCAAGCUGGUGGAAGUUGACAAGACAGUUGACGAAAACAACUUCCUCCGCUCACACAUCGUUGGAACAAAUCC